GUCCCGCGAAUGCCACGACUCCGUCUCCCUGCUCGUGGGAAGUCAGGACAAUGAAGAGGCUGUUUGCAGGUCCGAUGGCCUCUGCAUUGCCAGUCCAGCAGGAGAAGGAGCCAUGAGGCAUUCAGGCACUGGCCCUCCCUGAGUUCUCCAGAAGCCCACAGGGCAUCAUCAAAGAAGAGCGGCUCCCUCCAUUGUACCCAUCAGACAACCCACAUUGGGCUUCUCAGGCAGCGCAGCCUGAGGGGAGGAUUCAGGCCUGUGAGCCGGGCUGGAGCCUCCAGGGUCUGGAGCCUGGGUCCCCGGGAGUAGGGGCAGCCAGGCAGCCAGGGAAGGGGGUUGUCCAGGAGGACUCGCUGGAACUCCUGGUACCAUGUGAGUUCCCAUCUGUGAAGCAGGCAAAGAACAGAGCAUCCUUCUGAGUUUACAGCUCCCCGGGGUCCAGUCCUGCCUCUGGUUCCUUAGGCUCCAGCCCUCAUUUCCCAUUGGCGGCAUGAGCACUCACUGCGGUCUUCUCACGUAAAAACUCAAAAGCUGUAGGCCUAGAUCCUGUUUUUCUUUUUUGCACACACACACACACACACAGACUCUUGCACGUACACAGAUUCUCACACACAGACACACACCCUUUAGGUCCCUAAACAGAAGCUGUAAUCAAAAUCCACAAAGAAAUAAAGCUUCCCAACAAUGCCCUCUGA